AAAUGUUUUUAUCAGCCUCCCUUUGUUUACUCCUGCCCUCCUCUCAAACCAAAUUCUCAUACAACUAAAAUAUCAAUCUCCGGUAUAAUUUUCGUUAUUAUCGUCAUAUUCUAUUCCGACCUCAAAAGCUUUUCGCAGGAAAUACGACAAAUUACUUAUCUGCAAUUCGUCUCUCAAUUUCUAGGGUGAUAGUUGCGUUAUGGCAGGUAAUUGAUUAAUUAAUUAAUCAAUUAUUGAGGUUGAAGGAGGAGAUGGGGAGAGAGAGGGAUUUAUCGAGGUCACCUUCGUAUCGGCGGAGGUAUUCGCCGUCGCCGUCGCCCGUGGGGCAUAGGUAUAGCCGGAGGAGUGGUCGGAGGGAUAGAAGCCGAUCACCUUACUCUCACAGCAGUUUAUUCAGGCUUGUGAUGUUCGUGUCUUGAUCCGUUAAAGUAUUGAUUGCUUGUCUGCGCCUUUUUCGUGUCGAAGAUAUAUUUUGCAGCUUCAGAAUUAGGACUUUUUGGUGUACUGUGGUAUAAAAAUUUUGUCAAAUUGGAGAUAUUGGGUUGAUUAUCUUGUCAUUAUAUUUAAACAAAACCCAAAUCAAAUUGCAGUUGAAGUGGAUAUUUCCCCUCCUUGUGAAUAUGUAACUUUCAAUUACAUAGUUCUCUUCAUUACACUCAUAUAAAGGCUCGAAUGGAGAAUGUUUAGGUUGAUUUGUCGCAAUGAUGCAAGUUGCAACCAUUACUUCCUGAAAGCUUCAUUUUUGAAGGACUGCAAAGAUAUUUGGGUAGUGUAGAUUUGAUCUGUAUUCUCCACACUUGCUGAACAUGAGAUUGUGAGAGCAAGGGACCAUUCUUUUGAAGGAUCAUUCUUUUCGAUUUGUUAAACUUCUGUUAUGUCUGAGAAGCACAUUGGUGGAUGAACCACUAGUCUUCUGUAGUAAUUCAUGUUAUAUUCCUUCAGCAAAUGGUCAUAUAUCUGCAACAACUCACCAGCAGACUCUUAUAUUACGUCAAGAUCUGUGAUUUCUGCUAUUGCUUCGUGCUGCGAUGCUGCAUAUGAGAAUUGUCAACCAUCUGUCCGCAAUUUGAUACUCUAUGUGCUUGUAGUUGAUGGCUGUCAUACUUCUUCAACUCUUGCUCCUUCAUCUUGAGUAUAUAAGUUGCUCGAUUAGUGUGAAAGGUAGUUAUUGGACUACACCUGUUGUACACUCUCCUUUCUUUCUCUUUUAGAGAUUAAAAGAUCUGACUUGGGGGAGUUUGGGAAAAGUCUAUUAAAACAUGAGUCACACACUACUUGUCUUCUUGGCGUGAAAAUUUAAAUUUAAAAAAGAAACCAUGGCUUCCCUUUGAUAUGGGAAGUUAGCAGGUGAUGGGUGGCGAUGGGUGUCCUCCUGUUGCUUGUUUGUGACAUUAGCAGUAUCUUAUGGUAAAAGAUGGAGCAGUCAGUUUAAUAUCAAUUAAUGAGGUAACUGUACAUGUUUAAUUUUUAUUCCAUACUAUGGCGAGUUUGUAUGAUGCAAUAUUGUAUAAUAAGUGGCACUUAAUAUCUUAGUUUGAUGUUCAAGUAUUCUAUUUUGUUACACAGAAGAAGACAAAGUCGUUCGAUGUCCUCUCGACAACGGAAAAGUCGUUCCCCUACCCCAAGACGACGUAAAAGUCCCUCUCCAACACCAAGGCGACACAAAAGACAAAGAACUAGAAGUAUCUCACUCAGUGCAUCUCCCGGUGUUAGUGUUGGUAUAAAGGAGCAGAAAGAUAUUAGUGAAAAAUUAAGAAAAGAGGAAGAAGAAAAGAAAAGGUAUAACUGUUCUUUAUAUCCAUUCAUGUUUUUUUUUUUUCAUUUUUUCCCAGUCUGUACAUGGGAGCAUUUAGUUAUUUCUAAUGGGGGUUUGUUGUUAAAAAAGCAUUUUAUUGAAUCAUUUCUUCAUCCAUAAGUUGUGAAUAUAUGUUUCUGCAUGCUGUAAGUUCUUUGGAAGUUUAGCCUUUCUUCUUGUAGUUUUGAAUAUGUGUCUUGUUAAGAUGACUCUGUCAUGGAGUUAGAUCCUCAUUAAGUGUGUAUGUACUUCUUGUAUCCUGUGAUGACUGCAUGUUGUUCAAAUGUGUGAAACUGUCUCACCUUUCCUUAAUUUUCGUGGCUCUGUGUCUAAUAUUCGAGCAUACAAUUGGUAAGGUGUAAACUCUUUGAUUCAAGACUUAUAUUAAUGGUUUCCCUGAAGGGAAAAGAAUAAGAUGGGGGAAUCAAUGGAUAUCCUAAGUGUCUAACGAUACUCAUUAAUCAUCAAACCACCAUCUCAGAAUGGUGUUUGAGUGUGUUGUUAGGUGGGAACACACACACACACAUGUAUUUUCUUUUUUGACUUUGCUUCUUUUGCUUCAUUUUGAUUGAAAGAUUUGGUCAUGUGGAUGCUGAAGUUGCAUGAAAUUAUAUGCCAUCCAAAACAAAGGGGAAUACCUGUACUUUACUCUUUAAAGUAUGUUGUGACUCGGUUACGAGUUAACUUCAGAUGUUGCUUGGUUCAAAUAAUGGGAUGGAAAUCAAAUAAUGUGAGGAGAUGUAUUCAGUUUAGGCAAAAUAACACAAGAUGUUUACACAUACUGCAAUGGAUAAGAGUAUAGGUCUUUUUUACAUGACCGGUGACACCCUGAAUUUCUGUCAGCUUCUUGGUACACCUACCCUUGAACUCUUUCCAAGCUUGAAUUUUUUUUAAAAAAAUAUAUUGGACCUUUUGGUCUGUAUAUAUUCGAACUUACUGUUGUACCGGAACCUCCACAAGAUAUGUCAAUAACCUCCAUGGCCCAUAAUCCACACAAAUCCCCUCAAACCACAAGCACAAGUCAGAUCUUCAUGAAUUUUUUUUUCUUUAUCAGUCAAUUCAGGGUGAGGGGCAGGAGAGCUGAGGAGACUGGGAGCUGCAUGGUCUUAUCUGUUAUUUUCCUUUUCCUAUUCUAAAUAUACCCAGGAACCAAGUGAGAGUAUGGAUUGAAAACCACCAAACUUUCGGAAAUGGCUAACUUCAUAGAUGGUAGGUUUGAUUUCAUUGAGUGGGCGUUUACUCAAUACAAAUUUGGAAUCACUUCAUGUCGAUUCCUUAACUCUGUGCAAACCAAGAAAUAGAAACCCAAUAGAGAACAAACAAUACCAUUUCACCAAGUGUCAAUUAUCAAAUUUAAGGUUCAGGUUCAGUUCUUGCAGCUAAUUUGUGACACAGUACAUACGACUGCAGCAAACUGGCAAAAUGACAUUUUUCUCUUUUCUUAUUUUUGUUCACAUUCCAAAUAUUCGAUGCCAAGCAGUAGUCUCUCAUUUGUCUUGAUCAUUAAUUGUAUUUAGAAAGUCAGCUAACAUUUGUCUUGAGAUAUUUCUCCAAUUACUCAAGAUACACAAAUUUUAUUACAGUCCAUACCAACUUGGCAAGCCUAGUAGUUGGUCUUUGACCAAUGAAUUAGCACUGACUGGACAAAUAAAGAACCCCCAAUCUUAUUUGGAUUGUAUUUAAUGUGGAAUUAGGGGGGCUCCACAAUCUUAUUUAGUGCAUUUUCAUUGGUCAAAGAUCAGCUACUAGGCUCACCAAGGAGUUGGUCUGGACUGUGAUAAAAUUUCUCCAACAUACACUGUUGGUGCUGUCUGCUACUACUUGUCUAAGAGGAAGAAACGUGACUGCUUUACCUUUCGCUUCUGCUAUCUAGCUCAAGCAGAUUCAUCCUGAAUACUUCUGUGGUUAGUGGUCAUUUUUCAGAUGAUUAAAUUAUAAAUUGCAGCAGCCAUGCAUAUAUAACUAUCAAAUGUUAAAUGAUAUUAAUUACUUUCAUGAUUAGAAUAUCUUUCUGCUGGAAAGGGCUUCUUUUCCCUUCUAUUCAAGCAUCUGGCCUGCACAUUUAUUAGUUUGAUCUCAAUACCUUUGAUUGAUUUUUGCUUUCUCUUCUUGCAUAAUUUGUUCCUUGCAUCUAAGUUUAGCAACUGUUGCUGUGCUAUUAGGCCUGCUACUUCCCCGUUUCCUCUUGGUGUGUGACAUUUGAUGACUCGUAUAUUUGAGCUUUAGUUGAACAGAGGUUGUAAUUGCUAGUGUUUUCAUUUUGUGGAGCUUUAGUUGUAUAUUUAUUCUUGUUCAUACGUACCUGUAUUCGUUGUCUUAAUUUGUCGUGCAUCCUACAGGGUUGCUCGAUCUUCUCUAAUUUAUCUGAUUUCUGAGCAUUUGACAUCUGCUGACUAGCCAUAUUCUGAUCUAUGCUCAUUUCCCUGUAUUAAAAUUAUCAAGGUUUUACUCUUUUGAAUGUUGUGACAAUAGUAGAAAAUGGAUAGCGGAUGGGGAUUUAUUUGAUUAUCAUGAGCAGAACGUGGACAGAAACCUAGUUUUACUUUAUUGUGGCUUAGUUGGGGGCUUUCUGGAUUUUGUCCUGGAAUCUGUUCUUUUCAGACAAGAUUGGUUCCCUCCUUUCUCACUUCAAUUGUUUGUGUCUGUGCUUGUGCACGUGUGAAGCUAAAAUCUAAUAGGCUGCCAGGUCUUUUGUCUUUGCCUUAGUGUGCUCAAGUGUAUGUCCAAGAUCAUCAUUAUAUAUUCUAACAACUUUUGAGUUUGCUUUUUAAUAUGAGGGCUGAGAUAUUAUGGUGAUUUUGAAAUUGCCACAGUUUACUUGACAUUCUUCUUCACAGGGUAAUUUGAAGGAAGUUUCUGCUGUAAUUGUUUAUUUUGAUGCAAAUUGGCUGCCUGCUUUAUCUACUGUUCGCCAGUUUUGAAACUCAUUGUUUGGAUCAGGAAUCAGUUAGAGGUAUGCUUUUAAAGCAUAAGCAUAUAUAUUUAGUGCCUUUCUCGACAAGGAGGUUAGUCUGUCAUUCAUUUUAGUUGUAAACUAAGGAGAAAGAAAAGGUGGUGAUUUUCUAAAUUAAUGUUGUUUGAUAUUUCUGCUGUUAACCAGAAAAUUAAAAGUAACUGGAAAGGAAGCUUGUAGUUCUUUGCAGAUAAGGCCCUUUCUAUUUAUUAUGAUUAAUAAAGGAAAAUUUUAUGUCUUGCUCCGGCACACAGGCAUCUCCCCACUUAACUUCACUUUUGUUUUCUUACAGGCGUCAACAGGAGGCAGAACUGAAGCUAGUAGAAGAAGAAACUGCAAAGAGGGUAGAAGAAGCAAUUCAAAAGCAAGUGAAAGAAAGCUUGGACUCUGAGGAGAUUAGGGUUGAAAUUCAGAGGCGACGGGAGGAAGGUCGGAAGAAACUAGUUGAGGAAGUUGCUGUUCAACUUGAAAAGGAGAAGGAAGCAGCUCUUAUUGCAGCUAGACAAAAAGAGGAACAAGGCCGCAAAGAGAAAGAAGAGCUGGAAAGAAUGCUGGAAGAGAACAGAAGAAAGGUGGAAGAAGCGCAGAGGAGGGGAGCUUUAGAGCAGGAGCGAAGAGAAGAGGAAAGGUAUCGCAAACUGGAAGAGCUUCAAAGACAGAAAGAAGAGGCCAUGCGAAGGAAAAAACAGCAAGAGGAGGAAGAACGAGCGAAGCAGAUUAAAGUGCUUGGCAAGAACAAUUCGAGGCCAAAGCUGUCCUUUGCCUUGGGUUUGAAAUGAUACGGAGUUGUCGUCUUCUUUAGGUUGGAAGGUCUUGUAGAAAUUUUGUUAUUCGAUUUUCUUGACAACUUUUUGCAUUUAGCAGCUACAAGUGGAAGCUUGCAUUGUAAUAGGAAAUCUCAUGAUGGUACAGGGUUUGUUGUCUUAUUAAUCUGUUCAUUUAGUUUGUUGUCAAUGCGGCUCUCUUUUCAUUCA